rnacentral:rRNA from 1 species
GUGGGGAAUAUUGGACAAUGGGCGAAAGCCUGAUCCAGCCAUGCCGCGUGUGUGAAGAAGGUCUUCGGAUUGUAAAGCACUUUAAGUUGGGAGGAAGGGCAGUAAGUUAAUACCUUGCUGUUUUGACGUUACCGACAGAAUAAGCACCGGCUAACUUCGUGCCAGCAGCCGCGGUAAUACGAAGGGUGCAAGCGUUAAUCGGAAUUACUGGGCGUAAAGCGCGCGUAGGUGGUUUUGUAAGUUGGAGGUGAAAUCCCCGGGCUCAACCUGGGAACUGCCUCCAAAGCUGCAUGACUAGAGUACGGUAGAGGGUAGUGGAAUUUCCUGUGUAGCGGUGAAAUGCGUAGAUAUAGGAAGGAACACCAGUGGCGAAGGCGACUACCUGGACUGAUACUGACACUGAGGUGCGAAAGCGUGGGGAGCAAACAGGAUUAGAAACCCUAGUAGUCC